CAAGAGCAACACCUGCCAGGCUGAGCAGUGAAGGACAGACUCUUCAGUGAUGGUAGUCCAGUUCUGAGUAUUUUGUUUCAUGGAAUAGUCAGCAGCUACUCAGGCAGCUGGAGACAUAAGGAGAAAUCAACCCAACAAGAGCAGCCCUGCACAGCACCAUGAUGGAGUGGGGAAGAUGAACGGUAUUUGAAGACCGUGGUUCCAACAAGCCAAUUCAGUGCAGCCGGCCCUAAGGAAUCCAAGUCAAAGCAGUGCUCCCCAGUGCACAGAGUCCAGACGUUCUCAUACAACCCAGUAUCAUCUAAGAUCCAGAACUGUGGGUGGCAACAUCAUUGAUGGAUCAUCAGAUCUGUUUAGGUGGUUAUUAAACAAGAUUUUGUUGGAAUCGAAUGCAAUAAGAUAGAAUGGAAUGAAAAUGAACAGAACACAUCUCCCACGCUUUACAUGAGGACCUUUGUUCAUGUCAUUUGAAGUAACCAACAUCUACGUGAAAAACACAAGGGGCAAGACAUCCCAAAUUUUGUUCACUCAGUCAUCAUCUUUCCAUUUGAAUGUAAAUUAUUCUUUACACUAGUACUAGAACACCUAGUACAAUGCUUUGCACAUAGUCACUCAAUAAGUACACUGAACCUAAAUGAAUUAUGUAUUUUGAGAAGGCAGUAAAAACUAGAUGUUUGGUUUAACUAUCAAGUGGGAAAAAAUAGAAGUGGACAUAUGAAUAAUUGUGACA
rnacentral:lncRNA from 1 species